UGGGGAAUAUUGGACAAUGGGCGCAAGCCUGAUCCAGCCAUGCCGCGUGAGUGAUGAAGGCCUUAGGGUUGUAAAGCUCUUUCACCGGUGAAGCGGUAACCGGAGAAGAAGCCCCGGCUAACUUCGUGCCAGCAGCCGCGGUAAUACGAAGGGGGCUAGCGUUGUUCGGAUUUACUGGGCGUAAAGCGCACGUAGGCGGUUUGUUAAGUCAGGGGUGAAAUCCCGGAGCUCAACUCCGGAACUGCCUUUGAUACUGUCGAUCUAGAGUCCGGAAGAGGUGAGUGGAAUUGCGAGUGUAGAGGUGAAAUUCGUAGAUAUUCGCAGGAACACCAGUGGCGAAGGCGGCUCACUGGUCCGGUACUGACGCUGAGGCACGAAAGCGUGGGGAGCAAACAGGAUUAGAUACCCCGGUAGU
rnacentral:rRNA from 1 species